AUGAACAAAAAAAGACAGAUAUUCUUUGUUGAUGGUCCAGGAGGCACUGGGAAGAUGUACUUGUACAAGGCAUUGCUUGCAAAGGUGCGUUCCAUGGGCCGAAUAGCAAUCGCAACUGCUACAUCUGGUAUUGCAGCAUCGAUAAUGCCUGGAGGACGGACAACACACUCCCGGUUCAAAAUUCCAAUCAAGCUCACUAACAACAGUAUGUGUAGUUUUACAAAACAGAGUGGUAUAGCGGAGUUUCUUAGACAGGCAUCCUUGAUAAUUUGGGACGAAUUCGCUAUGACAAAACGACAAGCAGUUGAGACGCUUGAUAGAUCACUACAGGAUAUAAUGGAAUGUUCUUUGCUGUUUGGAGGAAAGGUUGUUGUCUUUGGUGGCGAUUUCAGGAAGGUCCUACCCGUUGUGACACGUGGGACAAGAGCACAGAUCACGGAUGCUACGCUUCUGAGAUCCUAUCUCUGGGAGAAGACCCGCAAGGUACGUCUCACGCGCAAUAUGCGGGCACAGGAUGAUCCUUGGUUCUCAGAAUACCUACUAAGGAUAGGCAAUGGAACUGAAGAGACAAUUGGCGACGAUUAUGUCCGUCUCCCUGACGACAUUGUCAUUGGCUAUACCGAGGAUGAAAAAGCUAUUAACAUGCUCAUAGAAGAUGUCUUACCAUCUUUGCAGGCCAAUGCAAGAUCGAGAGAGUACAUGAGUGCACGUGCUAUUCUUUCGACGAAGAACGAUCAUGUCGAUGACCUGAAUGACAAGAUGAUCUCCAGGUUUCCAGGCGAAGAAAAGUUAUACCAUAGUUUUGACUCAAUCGAGGAUGACUUGCAGAAUAAUUACACAAUUGAUUUUUUGAAUUCGAUCACACCAAAUGGCUUGCCCCCGCAUGUUUUGAAACUAAAGGUCAACUGCCCGGUCAUUCUGCUCCGGAACCUCGACCCUCAUAAUGGCCUAUGCAAUGGAACACGGCUUAUGAUCAGAGCCUUUCAGGAUAAUGCAAUUGAUGCGGAGAUUGUUGGUGGUCAGCAUGCUGGAAAGAGGGUGUUUAUACCUAGGAUCCCUAUGUCGUCCUCAGAGGACAUCUCACUUCCUUUCAAACUUAAGAGAAAACAGUUCCCCAUCCGCCUGAGUUUUGCGAUGACAAUUAACAAGAUGAGGUAG
rnacentral:rRNA from 1 species